GACGAACGCUGGCGGCGUGCCUAAUACAUGCAAGUCGAGCGGACAGAUGGGAGCUUGCUCCCUGAAGUCAGCGGCGGACGGGUGAGUAACACGUGGGCAACCUGCCUGUAAGACUGGGAUAACUUCGGGAAACCGGAGCUAAUACCGGAUACGUUCUUUCCUCGCAUGAGGAAAGAUGGAAAGAUGGUUUCGGCUAUCACUUACAGAUGGGCCCGCGGCGCAUUAGCUAGUUGGUGGGGUAAUGGCCCACCAAGGCGACGAUGCGUAGCCGACCUGAGAGGGUGAUCGGCCACACUGGGACGGAGACACGGCCCAGACUCCUACGGGAGGCAGCAGUAGGGAAUCUUCCGCAAUGGACGAAAGUCUGACGGAGCAACGCCACGUGAGCGAAGAAGGCCUUCGGGUCGUAAAGCUCUGUUGUCAGGGAAGAACAAGUGCCAGAGUAACUGCUGGCACCUUAACAGUACCUGACCAGAAAGCCACGGCUAACUACGUGCCAGCCGCCGCGGUAACAC
rnacentral:rRNA from 1 species